UCCUCCGUGGCGCAAUUGGCUAGCGCGUCUGACUGUUAGACUCCCUGUGGAGCCUGGAAUCAGGAGGUUCGUGGUUCGAGCCCACGCGGGGGAG